UAAUCCAUGUUUGUUUCACCGCUCUUGAGAUUGCGAUGGCAGAGUGUUCUCUUCACAGAUUUCAACUGCCUUGCUUUGGUUUGACUUUAUUGUCGUUUACUAAACGAAGCUCUCGCGACGAUAACAUAACUUAAACGCACACACUUAUUCUAAAAUUAUUGCUAAAUUUACAAUUGACCUUCAUUUAUUACAAACUACGUACAUUAGCAGAAUGUUUUUGAGAUCACUGUAGACUUCCCAACUAAGAUUUCUGUCGUUGACUAGAUUUGACUAGACUUAGGAAAUACAGUAUUCUAACCAUUACUGCAGGCAACGAACGGGUGUGCGUAGUAGGCGCUACUUAAUGCACCUCCAGUAAUGCCCCUGUGCCCGUGUCGGACGGGGAUGGAUCCCGAUCCUGUUAGACACGGCGCCGUCGGAAUUGUUUAGAGGUGAGCUGGACAGUCCUCAUUGAGGAGAAAUCUGGCCUUUUCGCCGAGGCCAUCCUGUCGCUGGAGAGAUCCUGUUGCCUGCAGAUCACUUCAGUAUGUCCUGCAGUAUGAACCACUUCAUAAGUUACGCGGAAAUUAUAACAAUAAUGGAAGGGUGGAUUAUAUAGAUAAAGUUGUACAGGAAAUGAAUACACACUCGCUCAUAAAAACGUUUGGUAGUUCAAACCAUCAUCAUUUCAUUCGCCAGACGUUUGCAGCUGCGUCGCAUCGUUUUCAUUGUAUCUAUAAAUAACUGAGAAGGUCAAACUGCAGAUUCUUCUUAUUCAGGCAGUCCUUAAAACUUCCACAAACGUAUGAUGGUUUCUAACUCACAUUGAAAUCUUUUUUGCCUUGCUCUGUGUCAUACAUCAGUUUCCUAUCGUUUACUUUUAAUUGUGGAAUAUAAUAUUAAUAUUGAAUUUAGAAACGAAAAGCCUAUUAAAUGGACACGUUAUAAAUUGUGUCACUUACAAUUCCUUUUUCUUUUCAAUGGUUUAGCGUCAGUUAUGUUCUCACUGUUGAACUGCACUGGAACUGUUGGAUGAAAUCAACGUCAUCGCCAACCUGCAGGAAAUGUUUGAAUCAUUACAAUAGAACAAUUUUCUGUUAAUUUUUUUUAAUAAUUCCAUUCUUAUACCCAGCGGUAAACUUUGACUAAUACUAUUAUUUUGAUAAUAAUAUAUUUUGAAUACUUCUAUUAUUUUAAAAACACAAGUUAUAGACAAUGUAACUCAGUAACUGUGAUAAUCUGUUCAAUACCCUCGAUUAGUCCUCUGUGGGCUAUCUCCAAAUCAAUCUAUACAUAUAUACAGUCUGUACCACUUUUUUCGAUUUAUUAUUGUUACGGAACAAAUAGUUCUAUUUCAUUUCUAUUUGGUAUUGACUCCGCUAAGAUCCCAACAUUUUCUUUAUCUUUCUCCAAGCAACAUAAUUAGCUCAUUCAAACCAUGGGUCGACUGAUAACACUUUUUAUUAUGUUUCAAUUAAAACAUUCAUAAACGGGAUAUUUACCAUGUUUUUUAUUUUCAUUUUGCGGAACUCGAUAAUUCGGCAGGAA
rnacentral:misc_RNA from 1 species